rnacentral:rRNA from 1 species
GACGAACGCUGGCGGCGUGCUUAACACAUGCAAGUCGAACGGAAAGGCCCUGCUUUUGUGGGGUGCUCGAGUGGCGAACGGGUGAGUAACACGUGAGUAACCUGCCCUUGACUUUGGGAUAACUUCAGGAAACUGGGGCUAAUACCGGAUAGGAGCUCCUGCUGCAUGGUGGGGGUUGGAAAGUUUCGGCGGUUGGGGAUGGACUCGCGGCUUAUCAGCUUGUUGGUGGGGUAGUGGCUUACCAAGGCUUUGACGGGUAGCCGGACUGAGAGGGUGACCGGCCACAUUGGGACAGAGAUACGGCCCAGACUGCUACGGGAGGCAGCAGUGAGGAAUAUUGCACAAUGGGCGGAAGCCUGAUGCAGCAACGCCGCGUGCGGGAUGACGGCCUUCGGGUUGUAAACCGCUUUCGCCUGUGACGAAGCGUGAGUGACGGUAAUGGGUAAAGAAGCACCGGCUAACUACGUG